CACGCUGCUUCUCAGUGAGAAACACUCUUCUAAACCCUGGGGUCACUGGGCUGCCAACCUGACUCAUUUUUAUUAUAAUCGUGCCUUAACUCUUAAAUUCCUACUUUUUCCACGAGCUGGCUAAUUGAAGAUAUAUCAGUAUGCAGCACAAGCUUGAACAGGCUUGGAGAAACUAUGACGACCCUCCGACAAAUCUUCAGCAGGUUGAAUUCCUUCAUGUAAUACUUUAUUAAAGCAUCCUCCAUCUCCCCUCCUCAGCCCCGUUGUCCAGCUUCCAGAGGUGAACCCAGCCAAACAGCACCCCAAACCGACAUCAAUCUCAGCUAUCAAAAAAGUCUCCGAGAUGGUCAGCUCAGUUUCCGCUCCAUCAUCCGCAGAAGCUGGGGGCUCCCUGAUUUAUAGCAGUAUUAUGCUUUUGAAGAACUAUACCAGACUAUAAAAAUGGCACUCUAAAUUGCGGUGUAGCAUGCCCAGGGAGAGAGAUUCCCAGUCAGAGAGAGCAGUGAUAAAUUGGAGAACGGUGAAUGUUCCUGGCUGGUUUUAUUUGUUAAAUAAAAUCUUUGGGGGGUUUUUUGUUGGGGUUUUUUUUUUUUUUUGAGCAAGGCUGGAACUAAAAUCACAUUGGUUACAUGGCUUCAGGGAUUUCCAACCAUAAGUGUUCUCUUUAAAGACAUGCAACAGACCAGAGUCCAAUUUUACACUAGCAACAGAGUCUUUCCAAGAAGUUAAAGAUAAAAAAAAAAAUCACCUUCUUCCAUAAAGCAAAUGGAAUUUAUUCUCAUUUAAGAAGUUAAACAUAUUUUUCCUGUGAACAUAUAAAGACGUAAGCACACCUAAUGGAGCUAUUCUCCUUUCACCAUGUGGUGUGAUAAUGCAGUUUCCAACAAAAACCAAAGCAAUAUGAAAUUGAAAUUUGUGUUUGUAGAUGCAGGCUCAGAGUUAAAGGAAUUUAUAUGAUGGUUAAAUCAUUCGGGCUGAGCUAUUGAGCCACAUCCUCCAAUGUUAUACAAGAAUGUUAUGCAAUAUCUUGACGAAAGAGGAAUCGGUGUUAUUUUACCGUGAAAUUUCUAGGCUUUCAGAAGGGUAGGUGUGCUAAAUUUGCAGUCCUUAAUGAGUUUUAAUGUUUGCCCAAUGCUUAGAAUAAGUGUUGUGAACACAAAUUACAGUAUGUGUGAAUAAGGUGAAGGGUGUUUUUUAGAAGAGAGUGCUUAGUGCAAGCAAUGCGGUUUCUCUGGGAGAGAUUUCAGGAAGGUAGGUUAUGUUGCUAACUGUCUUCUUUGUUUGGAGUUUAACUGAGUGAUUUGUUUAAAUGGACUUCAAUAAAUACAAAAUCUCCCCAACCAGCUAUUGAAUGGUGAACUGAAAUAAACUGCGAUGGACUAA